GUGAAAGGCAGGUGAACCCAGUAUAGUUUGUGGUUCUCAAGUUAGAGCUAGUAAAUGACCUUAGUGAUUUAUUCUCAAGUGGGAAGCACUUGGCAUAAAAGGGGAAUUUUAUAUUUCCUCCUAUUUAUGCUUUCACCUCAGCAGAUUUUUCAUCUGUUUUUUUACAUGCUGUUUUGUUGUUCACUGUCUUUAGUCUCCAAGGAACAUGUGCAUAUUCUGCCAAUAGAUGUGGGGUCGUAUUAGUCUUUAACAUGCAUAGGAAUCACCUGGAAAUCUGCUUAAACAUGCAGAUUCUGAUUAUGGCUCCAGGGUAGAGAUCCAAGAAUUUGAAUUUCUAACAAGUUCCCAAGUGUUGCUGCUAGUGAAUGGCAAAGAUCUGGACACUAAUAACCUAAAAAGAAUAGUUCAAUUUUAAAAACCUAGAGAUGCUAUGGCAGCUGAAGAGCAAGGAAUUAUUUUCAUGUGUUAAGUUGCAAGACCUCUAUGUGUUCCCUCCCUAUGGGACCUCAGUUAUUCCAGUGGCACCAGGGUGGAUCUAAUGGCUUCCCUGCAAGAUGCCAAACUAAGAGGUUUUAUUACCUGGAAAAUACAAGACACAGCUGUUUAUCUUGGAGGAAUCAAUAGGAGAAUUCACUCACAUAAACCAAAGGCCAGUAAAGAUUCCCAUGCAUUCCAAUGGACUCUUUUAGGUGGAUGCCAGUGAAUGGUGAGAGAUGAGAUUGGGAGAGGAGAGCAUUCUCAGCUACUGAGUCCACAGUGAAACUAAAGAGAAGCCAUCGCAAGGCCUGGAGAACUAUCUCUAGAAAUAUCUUGGCUGCACUGAUGAGAUUUUGGGCACGUAUUUCUUUAACUGUGAUAAAACAUGAAAUAACAAGAGAGAAUCAAAUUAGGAAGAACUCCAGCUAUCUCCAAGGUGUUUGUGAUCUGAAGCACUACUGGGGAGGUAAUUGUGGCUGAUGCACCACCACAAAAGAUUGAGAACGUCUCCCUCCUGCAAUAAUCAGACUAAUGUUUUCCUCAUUACCAUGUCUUCAUUUUUCCUGUCGACAGUACAAUGGCUGCAGAGGUCUCAUUACUGUUUUCCAUAUUUAUGUUUUAAAUUAUUGAUAGGCUGUAGUAGGGCUGAUAUGUGACUGAAAACCAGCAGUGUCAGGUAGUUAAGAAAUAUUUUUCAGAGAGCCAUUGGAACAUAACACAUGUGCAUCUGUCAAGAUUGGAAAGCAGAAAACAUACAUGAGACACAGUUGGGCUGUUCAAUUUGUUAACUACGUGGGGCAAGUCAACUGUCUCCUGAAUGCAAUAUGUAAGAAUGGCUAAAGUGAUAGGACUUGAACUCUUCCAAGCUCCGGGCCUUUUGGCUCCGGGCCUUCUGUUUUUUGGCUUCGGGCCUUCUGUUCUUCUUGCAUCUUGUUAUGAUAGCAAUUAUGGUCCAAACAACAUCAUAUGGCAAUGAUUUAAUUGGCUCAAGUACUGCUCCAAAGGUAAGUGUCACAGACUUUUUGGUCCUAUUCCCCACUUUUCCUGUUUGGAAGCAGAUUACUCAAAUAGCAGAAAUAAAAUGUCAUUUCUGUUGCCAUAUGGGAAACUUAAUGCUACAGUUAAAGAAAGACUCAUGUAGAAAAUUCUGUUUCUUAAACGUGGCAUGUAAAAUUCCAUUGCAGUAAAAAAGAAUGGCAUUUCAUAUGGUUGAAACAUUUACAAAUAAGGAGCAAAAAACCAAAACUCAUGACUCGGUCAGUCAUAAAACAUUUUCAAAACCUUGAUAUGUAAUAUUACUAUAGAUCUCAGGUUAAUCAGCACAUAGUGAACACUGAAUAAUAUUUUAGCAAUAUUAUAGAAUAUUAAAAUAAUGUAAUCCUGAACCAGUUAAACUAGACUUCGUUUCAGUUAGGCCAAUGUUUAGGUUUUGUUUUUUAUUACUUGGGAUUAAAAUCAGAUGUCUCAUUGAAAUAACUUUGUGUUGUUUAAAUUAAAGAAUAAAUGGAAUUAAACAUUUUAACAUGUCAUUUAGUAAAUCUGAUUUUUUUUCUUCAGAAGAAAUAAGGAAAAAAAGUUCAUUUGAUUUUUACCAAAUGAAACCAAAA
rnacentral:lncRNA from 1 species